CAACAACCUAGCCCAACCAAAAACAAGAACUUAAUAAACAAAAUAAUCCCACUAAAACCAACCAAAACAUUUUCACCAUCUUAGUAUAGGCGAUAGAAAA
rnacentral:rRNA from 1 species